rnacentral:lncRNA from 1 species
AAGUAUGGCAUCCAUUACCAUCUUAGCCAGCGUGUGGCCAUGUUUCUUAAAAAAAAAAAUUCCUGGUGUCCACUGCUACCCAUGAAGUUUAGACAUGUAUUCCUAAAAAAACAAUUUGGUGUCACUACCACCUUAACCAAUAACCAGUAGUGCUAUAAGACUAUCUAAUAUUGUGUCCCGCACUCCCACUACCACCUCUCCAUGAUAGUUAGAUCAUAUCAGGGGUGUUGCUCCAGGAACUUCCUGUACGUCUUUUAUUCUUCACAACACCAACUGGGAGCUCAAGAAACCAAGGAACAUCAAGAAAACAGCAGUUUCUUUGAGACUUUCAAAUAGCN